AGAGUUUGAUCAUGGCUCAGGACGAACGCUGGCGGCGUGCUUAAUACAUGCAAGUCGAGCGCGACAAUUAAAGAGCUUGCUUUUUGAUUGUUGAGCGGCGGACGGGUGAGUAACGCGUGGGCAAUCUGCCUUCUAGCCCGGGAUAACAGAGCGAAAGAGCUGCUAAGACCGGAUAUGCUCCCGACAAGACAUCUUGUUGAGAGAAAAAGAGAUGCUAGAAGAUGAGCCCGCGUCCCAUUAGCUAGUUGGUGAGGUAACGGCCCACCAAGGCGACGAUGGGUAGCCGACCUGAGAGGGUGAACGGCCACACUGGGACUGAGACACGGCCCAGACUCCUACGGGAGGCAGCAGUAGGGAAUUUUCGGCAAUGGGCGCAAGCCUGACCGAGCAACGCCGCGUGAGGGAAGAAGGUCUUCGGAUCGUAAACCUUUGUCUUUGGGGACGAUAAUGACGGUACCCAAGGAGGAAGCCACGGCUAACUACGUGCCAGCAGCCGCGGUAAUACGUAGGUGGCAAGCGUUGUCCGGAAUUACUGGGCGUAAAGGGCGUGUAGGCGGCGAUUUAAGUCAGACGUGAAAGCCCAGGGCUUAACCUUGGGACUGCGUUUGAAACUGGAUGGCUAGAGGAUCGGAGAGGGCAGUGGAAUUCCCAGUGUAGCGGUGAAAUGCGUAGAUAUUGGGAGGAACACCAGUGGCGAAGGCGACUGCCUGGACGACACCUGACGCUGAGGCGCGAAAGCUAGGGGAGCAAACGGGAUUAGAUACCCCGGUAGUCCUAGCCGUAAACGAUGGGUACUAGGUGUGGGAGGUAUCGACCCCUUCCGUGCCGGAGCAAACGCAAUAAGUACCCCGCCUGGGGAGUACGGCCGCAAGGUUGAAACUCAAAUGAAUUGACGG
rnacentral:rRNA from 1 species